rnacentral:lncRNA from 1 species
CAAGUGGGAUCAGCUGAGGCACAUGAUGAGAUCUCUGAGCCAAUCUCCAAUAUCGGCAAAACAGCUUUAAGCCCAAACCUGAGUUUUCAGGGAACUCCUCUGAUGCAAAGUGAUCAUUUCCUCUUGCCUAGUUCAAUAGAAUACUAUGAAGGUAGAGAUUUUGGGUCUGUGCAAGAUGAAAUAUAGUUUGUAUAGUAUAUUUGAAGAAAGGAACAUUUGUUCAGAUAAAAUAUAGUAUAUAUAGUAUAUAUUAUUAGUCUUUAAAGAAUAAUUUCUAUAUAACAUUAAACAAUAGUAGGAGGUAAAAUAUAGUUUGAGGUGGAAUUGAGCAAAGGCUUCAGAACUGUGAUUUUGAGUUGAGUAUCACAGCUAUGAACUAAUUUUCUCAUCAAAUACCAUAAUCUCAUGGACAUUUAUAUGCGGGAAUUAGAGAGAAGAAGAGAAGAACUUGAAUAAUUGCUCUUGGGAGAAAGGGUAUGAGAGAAUGUGGGUGAUUAAGUCAAAUGGAGAAAGGGACAUCAUGUCCUUGUUGUGUGCAAGUGUUUUCUCCCUAAGACAGGCAAGGAACCUGACAUCAAGAAUGGUUCAACUUAAAGAUGCUUCCUUGUACUCAUUCUCAUACUCUUUAUAUUUUCCAAUGCUUUCUUCAAGUAGGAUACUAAGAAUUUCCUGUACUAUUCUUUCUGAUUGCUUAUAAAAUAGUUUGCUCAUUAGAACCUUCAUUUUCUCGUCUUUUAUUUAUUUGUGUAAAUCAUUUUUCUUUGUUUAGUGACACAACGAAUCUUUGAACAUAAUUUUUGUUGAGUUACAUAUAAAUGGUUUUUAAAAAAUUGUGUAUAGUUUAAAGUUCAAAUUUCAAAAAUAAAACAUAAUAUAAUAUUUAUCAUAGAAAAUAAAUAUUAUUUAAUUGAAAUAUAUUUUUUAAAGUUUAUAUUUUUUAGCGGCGUUUUUAAAAAAGCGUCGCUAAAGGUCUGUUAUAUUGUGGUGUCUUGAAAAAAAGCGCCGCUAACUUUUGUGGUGCUGCAUAUAGCGACGUUUUUUGCGGCGCUUUAGCGGCGUUAUUAAGCGUCGCUAAAGGAAAAAAAAC